rnacentral:rRNA from 1 species
CUAUGCGCCUUGCCAGCCCGCUCAGGUGUGCCAGCCGCCGCGGUAAUACGUAUGGAGCAAGCGUUAUCCGGAUUUACUGGGUGUAAAGGGAGCGCAGGCGGUCUGGCAAGUCUGAUGUGAAAUACCGGGGCUCAACUCCGGGACUGCAUUGGAAACUGUCAGACUGGAGUGUCGGAGAGGCAGGCGGAAUUCCUGGUGUAGCGGUGAAAUGCGUAGAUAUCAGGAGGAACACCAGUGGCGAAGGCGGCCUGCUGGACGAUGACUGACGCUGAGCUCGAAAGCGUGGGAGCAAACAGG